rnacentral:rRNA from 1 species
UUAAGCAUAUCAAUAAGCGGAGGAAAAGAAACCAACAGGGAUUGCCCCAGUAACGGCGAGUGAAGCGGCAAGAGCUCAAAUUUGAAAGCUGGCCCCCUCGGGGUCCGCAUUGUAAUUUGCAGAGGAUGCUUCGGGAGUGGCCCCCAUCUAAGUGCUCUGGAACGGGCCGUCAUAGAGGGUGAGAAUCCCGUAUGGGAUGGGGUGUCCGCGACCAUGUGAAGCUCCUUCAACGAGUCGAGUUGUUUGGGAAUGCAGCUCUAAAUGGGUGGUAAAUUUCAUCUAAAGCUAAAUAUUGGCCGGAGACCGAUAGCGCACAAGUAGAGUGAUCGAAAGAUGAAAAGCACUUUGAAAAGAGAGUUAAAAAGCACGUGAAAUUGUUGAAAGGGAAGCGCUUGCGACCAGACUCGCCUGCGGGGUUCAGCCGGCAUUCGUACCGGUGUACUUCCCCGUGGGCGGGCCAGCGUCGGUUUGGGCGGCCGGUCAAAGGCCCUCGGAAUGUAACGCCUCUCGGGGCGUCUUAUAGCCGAGGGUGCCAUGCGGCCAGCCCGGACCGAGGAACGCGCUUCGGCUCGGACGCUGGCAUAAUGGUCGUAAGCGACCCGUCUUGAAACACGGACCAAGGAGUCUAACAUCUACGCGAGUGUUCGGGUGUCAAACCCGUGCGCGCAGUGAAAGCGAACGGAGGUGGGAACCCCUCGGGGUGCACCAUCGACCGAUCCUGAUGUCUUCGGAUGGAUUUGAGUAAGAGCGUAGCUGUUGGGACCCGAAAGAUGGUGAACUAUGCCUGAAUAGGGCGAAGCCAGAGGAAACUCUGGUGGAGGCUCGCAGCGGUUCUGACGUGCAAAUCGAUCGUCAAAUUUGGGUAUAGGGGCGAAAGACUAAUCGAACCAUCUAGUAGCUGGUUCCUGCCGAA